AUUGAACGCUGGCGGCAUGCUUUACACAUGCAAGUCGAACGGUAACAGGUUAAGCUGACGAGUGGCGAACGGGUGAGUAAUGCAUCGGAACGUGCCCGAUCGUGGGGGAUAACGCAGCGAAAGCUGCGCUAAUACCGCAUACGAUCUGAGGAUGAAAGCGGGGGACCGUAAGGCCUCGCGCGAUCGGAGCGGCCGAUGUCGGAUUAGGUAGUUGGUGGGGUAAAGGCUCACCAAGCCAACGAGCUGUAGCUGGUCUGAGAGGACGACCAGCCACACUGAGACUGAGACACGGCCCAGACUCCUACGGGAGGCAGCAGUGGGGAAUUUUGGACAAUGGGCGAAAGCCUGAUCCAGCAAUGCCGCGUGCAGGAAGAAGGCCUUCGGGUUGUAAACUGCUUUUGUACGGAGCGAAAAGGCUCUCUCUAAUACAGGGGGCUCAUGACGGUACCGUAAGAAUAAGCACCGGCUAACUACGUGCCAGCCGCCGCCGUAA
rnacentral:rRNA from 1 species